UACGUAGGGUCCGAGCGUUGUCCGGAAUUACUGGGCGUAAAGAGCUCGUAGGUGGUUUGUCGCGUUGUUCGUGAAAACUCACAGCUAAACUGUGGGCGUGCGGGCGAUACGGGCAGACUUGAGUACUGCAGGGGAGACUGGAAUUCCUGGUGUAGCGGUGGAAUGCGCAGAUAUCAGGAGGAACACCGGUGGCGAAGGCGGGUCUCUGGGCAGUAACUGACGCUGAGGAGCGAAAGCGUGGGGAGCGAACAGG
rnacentral:rRNA from 1 species